GCCCAAUGAGCCUAAAUGAUUGGCCAAGAGGGGAGCGGACCCACACAAGAAAACCAAGGCGCUUUCCCCCGCACAAGGACGAUCGCCGGUUGAUGGUGUGGGCCUGGCUGCCGGUUAGAAGAGGUCACGCAAGCACUGAACGAAAAUCCGGCGGGGAAUUGCUGUAGGGCUAUCCUGUAAGGUUUUGGUUUUGAAUUUUAGAUUACUGAUUUAAAUUUAUGAUUACUUAGAUUUUAUUAACAAGUAGAUCUUUUUCUCAAUAUUGCUAUAUGUUAUUGAUAAUUUCGGGGCUCGUCUACUUUAGUUCAGUAUUCUUCCCUAGCUAUAUAGCCCAGGAUGAGUGACAGUAGUUUUGGUGCUUGUGGUGUGUUGUUAAUUUGGUAAUUUUAGGUUUUUUUUUGUUGGGUAGGAUUUGCAGUUUGUCAUUGGUUUGUUGUAUAAAAGAGUUUGAUAAAAGUAUUGAUCCAAAUGUUCAUUUUGAGUCAUCAUAAUCAAUGAAGGUGAAAUAUUUCAUUGCUGAAAUUUUUAUUCUUUUUCUUUAUUGGGCAUUUUCUCUAUUGUAGUGAUCCAAAAGUUCAUUAAUUACUGUUAUUAUUGGUUUUUUUAUUUUUGUUGAAAUGGGGACGCAUGAAGUCUUAUCGUAUUUGUUGGAGAGAAUCUUCUGUAUGCUUACUAUAUGUUUGGUUUUUGGCCCAAAUGAAUUUUGCAUUUUCUUUUGUAGGUAGAGAGACCAUGCACUGCCACCUUGAACCACCAUGAAAGAUGGUAGAGAUAAUGAAUGAGGGUGCUUUAGUUUUUCUUAAUCUAACAGAUUUGUGAAAAAAAGUAGUUGAUGCAGUUGUAGGCUCUCUAUAAGUGAGAGCUCAUAUGAAAGUAGUCAAUAUUACAGACAUAGCUAUAACAAUUUGUGUUUAAAAGAUGAUAUGGUAUUUAAUAAAUUAAAUAUAAUCUCAUAUAUUAGGCUGUGGCAGUAGCCUUACUGUUAAUAUUUAGCUAGAUGCCUAUAUGGCAUGAAGUACUGGUUUUUCAUGAAGUGCAAAAUCAUAUUCUAUCAGGAUAUUGGUAAUUUUUCUGAGUCAUUAUAAGCUUGGUGAUUAUUUAGGAGUCCCUUGCUUUCUUACCUUGUUAAUAGAGGCUGUAGUUAUUCAAGUCCUGCUUUGGAUACUUUGCUAAAGUUCCUUUUCUUUUUCAGUUAUUUGUAUUUUACAACACCAAAAAUAAAAUUAAAAGAAGCCUAAGUGUUUCUUAUGACUUCUAGUAAAUACAACAGAUUUGAAACUGUACCACUCAGCAUAUCUUCGCUUUGUUGUGCAAUGACUUGAGAUUUCUGAAUUGGAUGCCAUGAUGUGGAAUGACCACUUAUGGAGCUUAGUCCUCUUUUUAUUCAUUGCAUAAUCUCAUCUUCUUCAUGUAUAAUAUUAUCCUGGUGACAUUUUAGGGGGGCAGCUAUCAUGUACAAUGGUGUGAAAAGUCUAAUGUUUAUUGAACUGUUUACCAAUUUGUUGGUUGUAACUUACAUUAAUAUCAUCAUGCCUGCCUAGAAAGGAAGAGGAGACGAUAUAAUGUCUUCUUCGGCAUCUCACAUCUGUAUGCUUAACUUGAAAACAUGUCCUUGACUAAACAUUUUCUUUAGAUACUGUAUUUUAAAUUUGCUAUUUAUGUGGACAUUUAACAGUUAUGUUAUUUGUUAGGGUACGAUGGAAAACGAUGAGUUAAUUUGGGGAGACAAACUCAUAUUGAGAGGGUUGAAGUUCCAUGGCUUCCAUGGGGUGAAACCAGAAGAAAAGACAUUGGGUCAGAAGUUCUUGAUAGAUGUAGAUGCCUGGAUGG
rnacentral:misc_RNA from 1 species